rnacentral:rRNA from 1 species
AUUGAACGCUGGCGGCAGGCCUAACACAUGCAAGUCGAGCGGAUGACGGGAGCUUGCUCCUUGAUUCAGCGGCGGACGGGUGAGUAGUGCCUAGGAAUCUGCCUGGUAGUGGGGGACAACGUUUCGAAAGGAACGCUAAUACCGCAUACGUCCUACGGGAGAAAGCAGGGGACCUUCGGGCCUUGCGCUAUCAGAUGAGCCUAGGUCGGAUUAGCUAGUAGGUGAGGUAAUGGCUCACCUAGGCGACGAUCCGUAACUGGUCUGAGAGGAUGAUCAGUCACACUGGAACUGAGACACGGUCCAGACUCGUACGGGAGGCAGCAGUGGGGAAUAUUGGACAAUGGGCGAAAGCCUGAUCCAGCCAUGCCGCGUGUGUGAAGAAGGUCUUCGGAUUGUAAAGCACUUUAAGUUGGGAGGAAGGGCAGUAAGCUAAUACCUUGCUGUUUUGACGUUAUCGACAGAAUAAGCACCGGCUAACUCUGUGCCAGCAGCCGCCGUAAGAC